rnacentral:lncRNA from 1 species
AUAGAUUGAGUAGAGCACAGAGCGUAGAGGACAGCCGCGGUCUUGGUGGACCGGGAGGACCAGGUUGUGCGGGUGGGGGGAGGGGAAGCGGGGUGUGUGUAUGGGGGCCAGUCAAGUCCUUGCAGUGGCAGCAGCAGCAGCCAUGCACGUGCACUGCACUUCUUGCCGAUGUGCGUGUCUCUCUCUCUCGCAGCAUUAGAACCCCCCCUGACGCUGUCCUCGGGGAGUGGCGGCCCGUCGAGCUAACCACCGGGCAGUCCGUGUGGGUUGGAGUCCGUUAUUGGUUGGUCGUUGGUCGUUGGGCUGCCGGUUAAUACUGUUGAGUAGACUGUACACUGGGGGGAGGCACGAAGGGCGUGGUGUGGUGUCUUACAAUUGAUGCCAGUGAUGCGUGUAUGUGCUCGAAUGGACUGAGUCGCGAUGUAUGUAUGUAUGUAUAUGAAGAGGGUGAGGGGAGGGAGGGGGAAGUGCUUGGAGUUGACAGUUGACAGUUGCAAAAGGUAUAUGUGCAGUGCAGAUGGACCGCAGGCCCCCGAAACCACAUUUUUUUGCGCAUGGGAACUUGGGGUUUUCCUUCUCCAUGCAACUUCAUACCGUACACAUACUACCAAGCAGAUGUCGUGUAUUAAUGGUGUCGUACAGUUGACCGGGCCGACAUGGAGGGCGGCGGGCAGCAUGUCGGUAAAGCCCUGGAUUGGUUGAGGAGUGUUUACUCGUGUGUUGUGUAUUACCGCGGUUGUUGUUGUGGUGUGGUGGUGUGGUAUCAGAUGGUAGGCAGCUUGCAACCACGGAGAGGUAUAUCUGUCUGUAACCAUGGUAACUUAGUGGUGAACUUCUCCCCGCUAUAGCUACGGUGCACUCUUUCUUCGUAUGGGUAGUGGCUACGAAGCUAUUAUGCGAGAUGGGUCAGGAGGCCAAGUGGGAUUAGAAAACGAGUCUGAGCUGUGGCCCGGUUGCCUCCCUCGAUCGAUCAACUCCCUACCAGAGUAGCACAGCGGGAUUUGCACCGAGUAAUGGCUUCUACAGCCUGCUCUUGUAUUCAGCCCGGCAGCUACGUUUGGCAUUCCACAACAGGUUGGCGAAGUAGCUGUUUUAUUGUUGUCCCGAUUAGUGUGUAAUGAGGGAAGAGAGAUGAGGACAAUGAAACAGGGGGUGCUGGUGACUUUGCCAAACUUUCAACGCUUCCAACUAGCAAUCAUGUGUAAAAUGCAAACACCAAAAAAUUUGUCCAUACCGAAGCUGAAAUUGUAAAAAACAUAAGGACUCCGGUCAACAAGCUAUACAAAAUCUAAAACAUUUCACCUUGUG